rnacentral:rRNA from 1 species
UACGCACUCCUACGGGAGGCAGCAGUGGGGAAUAUUGCACAAUGGGCGCAAGCCUGAUGCAGCCAUGCCGCGUGUAUGAAGAAGGCCUUCGGGUUGUAAAGUACUUUCAGCAGUGAGGAAGGUGGAUAUGUUAAUAGCAUAUUCAUUUGACGUUAGCUGCAGAAGAAGCACCGGCUAACUCCGUGCCAGCAGCCGCGGUAAUACGGAGGGUGCGAGCGUUAAUCGGAAUUACUGGGCGUAAAGCGCAUGCAGGUGGUUUGUUAAGUCAGAUGUGAAAGCCCGGGGCUCAACCUCGGAAUUGCAUUUGAAACUGGCAAACUAGAGUACUGUAGAGGGGGUAGAAUUUCAGGUGUAGCGGUGAAAUGCGUAGAGAUCUGAAGGAAUACCGGUGGCGAAGGCGGCCCCCUGGACAGAUACUGACACUCAGAUGCGAAAGCGUGGGGAGCAAACAGGAUUAGAUACCCUGGUAG